AAAUAACUUUGUGUGAAAUGUCUCGAAUAACUGUUUGUGUGGAAGUUAGUCGUGUGCCUCUUUGUUCGGGAGUUGGUUUUCACCGAACACCGCCUCUUUCGGAUGGAAUAGGACAAAGCUAAGCGAUCCUGGAAGUCUCAGCGGUGUUCGGGCCGUUGCGUGUCUGAAAAUAGUUCCAUACACUGGACGACCAAACUCCGCUGGACGUGUUUCACAAAACAAGAUAG